UUCAAUGAUGGCAACUCGCUUGGGAGCUAAGUUGCAUCUUUUCUACGCUACUGGCUUGAUGGCUGGGUUAACGUGAAAGCAAUGGCAGAUGAUCUGGGGAUUGAUGCCUUGUAUGUAGGAUGAUGACCAUGCAAAUACGUCUUUGUUGUUAUGGUGGAAGGCUGCAAGCUAUGCCUUCUCCUCCUGGCUUAGGCACGAGCCGAUCCGCUUUUUUCUCUUUGGCUUGUCAGGAUCAAGGGGUACUAGCUUGAUGUCCUCUUCGGGCAUCUAUCCUUCCUCAGCAGAAGCCUCCGAACAGAUUCCCUCG
rnacentral:lncRNA from 1 species